rnacentral:rRNA from 1 species
AUUUUAUAUGAGAGUUUGAUCCUGGCUCAGGAUGAACGCCGGCGGUGUGCCUAAUACAUGCAAGUCGUACGCACUGGCCCAACUGAUUGAUGGUGCUUGCACC